AUCAUACCAUCAACAAUCAAGUUAUGUUCAAAACAAUAAGCUCAUCCAUCAUCGUCAAUGCAUCAUAAUUUAAUUUAAAUAAAAAAUGAAGAAAUAAAUCAAGCAAACUAACAUUUUACACAAACUCGGUACACUGGAGCAAAGCUAUGCAACAUCCAUACAUCAACACAUACCAACAUACAUACAGAAAUUAAGCGUUUCUCACCAAAUGGAACUCACAUUUCCAUUUCAUUUCAUUUGAAUCUUAAAAAAAACAAAUUUCACUUGAGUUUCAGCAAAAUUUCAACAAAUACACUUCAAUUGAAAUGUAACAGUUUUCAUCUUAAAUCCAUCUCAACCCUUAAUCCCCCAACUUCACACGGAUCCUCGCCAUUUUCUCCCUCAAAAAAUUCCAUUCUCAUCACCAAACUCCCCCCUCAAUUGCACCACUAUAACUUCUAUAAAUUGACUCCAAACUCACUCAAUCAAGGACAAAAAGAAAUCAUAAUCUCACUCUGCAGAAAAACUCCCUCAGACCCCCUACAUUCAAACCUCGUUACCUUGACCUCCUGAAGCUUCACAUUGAAGCCUCGAGAGGUUGAGCUCAGACACUUAGAGUUCACACUUGAACCUUAUCGGAGCAAUCAUUAUCCAUAGAAAAUCAAUGAGAGAAUGCGGAGUAGAAGAUUCAAAGCGGAAAGAAAGAGGAAAGCAGCAAACACAACAAAGGAUAAAGGAGUAGAUAACAUACCUAAGUCAAAAGUAUGUAAAUUCAAAGAAGAAGCCCUCUAAUAAGGGAAUAUCCAUCAUGAAAUCUAUUAAAAUAUUUCAUAAGGAAAUGACGAAGAAGGAGAUUGGUUCCUCUUCUGUUGCAAAUGGUGAAGAUGCAUCUGGUGAAUCAUAUGUUGGAUCAUCUACAACUGGAAAGGAGUAUGUUACCAAGAUGAAGGUUGUGAAUAAGUGACAUGUUCAGAAGCAUGAUUCUGGCUCAGAGGAGGAUGAAGACUAGAUUGCUUACAAGAACAGAAGAUGAUGGAUUGAAGAAUAAGUUCAGAAGUUCUACCUUAGUUGUUAUGGCCCUUGUAUCUGAGCGUUUUUUGGAUUUGGAAAAGCUUUAUAGCCUAUUUGAACGUUUGUACAAUAAAACAAAUAUAAUUCUUGUGCAUCUUAGAAUGUUGUUCUGA